GUGCUGUUUUUGUUAUUCUGAAACCAUAUUUGUCUAGCUGGGAGUCAUUUUUCACUCAAAGGAAUGUGGUUCUGCUGCAUGUCUUCAGGGAAUCAUAGGAACCCCAUGGUUUCUAUGAACUCAGAUGUUUUCAGGAUAUCAGCUGUGAAAAUCAUGCAUUCACAAGAAUUGAAGCUGCCUGACAGUCCCUGGAGGUAUAAAGAAGCAAAGUGUUGGUAUUACAAUGUCCAGUGCAUAAUUCAGCCUUGGAGACUGUUUUUGCUUUCAGAUACAGCGUUGUCUUUCAUUUCUUAAAACUGUUCAGAUCUUGAUUUAAUCACUAAUUUAUGACCAGAAAUAUCUUAACCUGACUUUGGUUACACAAAAAUGGAAGACCUUACAAAAGCAAAAGUACAUAUUACAUUUCAUUGAAGAAAAUGUCACAUAAAGAAAUGUUUACAGUUAAGCAAAAAGUAAAAUGUAUUUUGGCGAUGAAUUUACAUAUACAUUAAGUGCUUUGCUGAAACAAGGCCAACAUAUUAAAUAUAUGUAGAAGUAACCAUGUAGGCGAAAAUCCUGGCCAUACUGAGUCUGAUGUAAAACUCCUAAAGGGGGCAUAAAUUUACUUUAGGCCAUCUCUGGCAAAUCUGAAUAAGAUUGUAUAAGUUUAUUUAUGUAAGCAUAUAUUGAAAUUCGGAGAUUCACGUUUUUGAGGAUCUUUGUAAGAAAUUAUUUCAGCCAUUUUUUUUAAACAAUCUUUUGUUAACAACAGUUACAAAUAAGAUACUUUAAAAUAAUCAAACUCAGAUAUUUAAAAUUCCAUUUUUCACAAUGAAGAAGAGCUAUUUAAAACUUAUUCUUAAGGUUUUUUGGUUGUUUUUUUUUGGUGGUUUAAUAGGAAAUGCUGAGUAAAUAUUUUUAGACUGAAAUUCUACAGCACAAAUAUUCUACUGCUUAUGUAACCCCAGAUUCCUAUCUGGAACAGCCUUCAGAUUUAACUUGAAGACAAGUCAUUUGUGUACAGCUUCAGUCACGACUGGUAUUGAUUUUUAUCCUGAGAUGCUCAUGUCUCUAUCUCAACUCUAACAUCCAAAAAAAUCAUAAUUGCUUGUGUUCCGUCACACUGUUUCAUUGCUUUUCUAUGAAUGGUCUGUGCAGAGUAUGUUGUAAACCACAUAAUUUAUUUAAAGAAACAGAAAAAACUUCUUACUGCAUUUUACUUUAUUACUAUUAGAUUUGUUCUGGUAUCAAAUUAAUAUUUCAAGUUGUCAUGUUAGUUUCAUGUUUUGCACAUUUCUGUACCCCUUUCUUUUAUUAUUCUCUGACUGAAAAAAUAAAGUAUAUUAUUCUCCAGAAACUUUAUGCUAGAAAUUUUUAAAAAUGUUUUUAUGUGGAAAGUAAUAAAUAAUUACUAUUACUUUAGCAGCAAAUAUACCUUUGUCAUUAUUGAGUUAUUUCCUAAUUACAACAAAAGAAAAGCAUUAGUAUGAGAAAGACAGAUGUGAAUAUAUGUGGUAUAGAAAUAUCUCUGCGUGAUAGCAUAGGACAAAACUGUGCCUCGCUUGUGAGAGUUGGCUGCUCCUUAAUCAAUCACUUGUGAAAAAUAUAGGGUUGGAAGGAAUGGGAUUCUUUUAGUAAUUUUCAUCUUUGUGAAAUAUUUGGUUUGGACCAUGAAACUGUAGAUGCAGGAGGCCACACAGCUGGAAAGUGGUGGCAGAAAAAGACCAGCAGUGUCCUGGGCUGCAUUAGGAGAAGCAUUGCUAGUGGGUUGAGGGAUGUGACCCUCUUUGCUCAGCCCUGAUGAGCACUGUGUAUAGUGCUGGGCUCUCUCUUACAAGAAUGAUAAGAAUAUAUGCGAGAGAACCCCAUGCAAGACCACAAAGAUGAUGAAAGGAUUCUGUGAGGAAAAGCUGAGAGAACUAGUGCUGAGAAAGCUGUUGAGCUUGGAGAAAAGAAGUUUCAGAUUUUAUCAAAUAUAUAUUAAUACCUGAAAUAAGAAUGCAAAGUAGAUGGAGUACCCAGUGAUAGGACAAGAGGCAAAGGGCACAAACAGAAACAGGAUCUGUCUGAACAUCAGGAAAGACUUUUUCUCUAUGAGGGUGACCAAGCACUGGCAUAGGUUGUGAAGUCUCCCUCCUUGGAGAUAUCUUGAAGAUGUCUGGACAUAAUCCUGGGAAAAUAGCUCUAGGCCUUGAUUAUCAUGAGUGUGAGGAAAGAUGACCUCCAAAGGUCAACCAGUCUGUGAUUAACUUACAGAAAAAUUGAACAAAAAUACUAAAUUUCCAAAAAUUUGUUUUCCGGAAAAAACAAAUCCCAGAAUUGAUAAGGAUUUUCUAAAACAAAAGAUAGCUGCAUUAAUUAUUUGAUGAGUAGCUUGUGAACUUUUAAUAAUAAAUGCAAGUGAGAAAAGUGUUGAAUUGCUAGUUGAAAAACUGCAAACAAUUUAGAAAGGAAAAAUAUCAUGAAAAAUAUCUAAGAAGACUUUUAAAAGAGUCUAUUAAAUCUCAAAGGAAGAGUAAAACAGUAGUUUUAUUUUAUAAAAGUAAGUAAGAAUUCCUUUCCUUCUAUUCUGGAACAGACUUGUUUAAUGUCCAAAAACCACACGAAGUCCUGAGUAAAAUUUACUAGGUUGACUACAUUCAACCUGAAAAUUCUUGAAUGUAACUACAGUUGUCCUCCUAGACUCAUGAAAAUGAGAUGACAUCUCUGGAGGAUAAACAGAACAGCUCCUGCUUAAAGUGGAACUGUUUCUGUAUGCGCGUGGAUAAAUUCUUGUCUACUUCUUGACUUAAAUUCAUUUUUGAAACCAGGAGAGUGCUUGCUUAUCUGAACCACAGACUUAGACUACUUUACACACAUCAGCAGUACUGAAGUCAGAGUAAAAUACAGAAGUUGCUCAAAUAUUCAUAGAUAUUACGAAUAUCUAUGCAUUUAAUAAAGAAAUAUGAGAUCUUUUACCUCUCUAGCUUGCAGAAUGAAAUAUCAUACUAGUUAGCUAAUAAUCAUUGUGUUUAGUUAAUUGUUAACUAAAUUUAGUUAAUUUAGUGAUUUUCACUUCAAUAACUUUAUAAUGCAAAACACAAAACAAGAGAAGAACUGGAAUCAGCAAGCAGGAUGGUAUCUUUUAGAUUUGAGUACGAAAGAUUAUUUAGUGUUUAAUUUAAUUCAGCAUAAAGCAAAAUGGAUUUUAAUUUUUUAUUAUUUUUAUCACUGUAACUUAAUAUAUACAUCGCUCUUAAAACAUCCACAGAAUUGAGAAAGACUAUGGCCAAUGUAAAAACAGGACAACAGGACUUCUCCAUGACUUAUUCUAUAGAAGAGUAUCUGGAGAUAGGUGGGGUGUCAUAACACAAGUCUUAUAAGGAGUGGCUGAGGGAGCUGAGAUUGGAGAAGAGGAGGCUCAGCGGAGACCUUAUCGCUGCCUACAACUACAUGAAAAGAGGUUGUGAUGAGGUGGGAGUCAGCCUCUUCUCCUUAGUAACUAGUGAUAGGACUAGAGGGCAUGACCUCAAGUUGUGACAUGGGAGGUUCAGGUUGGUUGUUAGAAAAAAUUUCUUUCCUGAAAGAGUGGGCAGGUGCUGGAAUGUACUGCCCAGGGAGGUGGUUGGGUCACCAUCCCUGGAGAUGUCCAAGAAAUGUUUAAUUGUUUUACUAAGGGAUGUGUUUAGAGGGGAAAUAUUGGUGCUAGGUGAAUGGUUGGACUGCUAAUUGUAGUGUAUGUAUCUUUCCCUCACAGCCUGUUCCUGCCUUGUACAGUCUUAGGUUUCUUACAGAUUAUUAGGUACUUUUUCUAUUAAGAUAAAUAAAUUGUGAACUUAAAUCUUUGUUCUAAAACAGCAGCUGCUGUGAUUGGUGAGAUUUUUACGUAUCAGCAUCAUCUUGAGUUUAUGGUAUUUCUUAUCAUUAUUUUACUAUAUGUUAACUGGAUAUACGCCCCAUGUUUCUGUUUCCAAGAAUAAUGUACAGUGUCAAGCUUUGACAAGAAUGACACAGGCAGGAUAGCAGCAGAGCUAGCAACUUCUGAGCAGAGCUGUAUUAAGACAAUUCACUUCCACUGACACCAUGAAACUACAAUUUAGAGAAGACUAUCUAAAAUAAUCAAACAAUUGAGAGAUGACAUCCGUAAGCAGUUUUAAGAGAGGCAACUUACGUGCUUUUCAGAAGAACUGAUUGACUGGGAGGAUGAGGAAUUUGAAACCAUUUUACAUAGAAGUAGUUCAUCUAAAUAGAUAUUCUGAGAAGAAAAAAUCUUGACUUCAUUAACUGUAGCUUACAACAAAGGAAAUAAGAAGCCAAAGACUGCAGAUCUAAUCAAGUAGUGCUUUUAAAAGUAGAGUUUUGUUCGAUAUAUGCAGUAAAGAAUGCUAGCUUAUACAAGAUUAAAAAUAUUUAUGCAUAUUAUAUUUUAUAGAUAUAUAAAACACAUACAUUUAAAACUCAAGAUUGCAUUUUUUUACUGUAUGUUUCUCGCUACAAUAAAUGUAUUUCUCUCAUAAAUAAUUGACUGUUUGUCUUCUACUAUUUUUGCUUACACAAAAAUUUGUUUUGCCAUUACUGGUGGAUAGUCCAAAGGCUUCACAGAUUCACAGAAUCAUGGAAUUGCAGGGGUUAGAUCUUAAGAGAUCAUUGAGCCCAACACCCCUACUAAAGCAGGUACCCUACAAUAGUUGCACAGGUAGGCAUCCAAACGGAUCUUGAAUAUCUCUAUAGAAGACUCCACAACUUCUUUGGGCAACCUAUUGCAGUGCUCCAUUAUCCUGUAUAGAAGUUCUUUCACAUGAUAGUAAGGAGCUUCCUCCAUUCAAAUCUUAGGCCAUUACUCCUUGUCCUAUCACUACAUACCGCCAAGAAGAGCCUGGCCUCAUCCAUUUACCUCCCACCUUCCUUUAGAUAUUUCUUUAUCUAUUUUGUUUACAUUACCCAUGGUAAAAAACAAAAACAAACAAAGAAACAAACAAAUUCUUUUUACUUAGUUAAGGCUCAUGCAAUGUGAAUGAAAUGUGCAUUAAAAACAUUCAGCAAUAUUAUUAAUGUAGAAUGAUGAAGUCUGUAUAAUCAUAGGUUAAUUGCAGAGUUAAUGUAUUUUGGUAACAUUUUCUUUAGUACAUUUGGUACAGUUUGAUAUCAUCUUAAUGUGUCAGAUUACCGUUUGACCAGAAACCUAUUCUCAAGUAUGCAGUUUUUAUUAAGAGGAAAAUAU